rnacentral:rRNA from 1 species
UACGUAGGGCGCAAGCGUUGUCCGGAAUUAUUGGGCGUAAAGAGCUCGUAGGCGGCCUGUUGCGUCCGCUGUGAAAGCCCGGGGCUUAACCCCGGGUCUGCAGUGGAUACGGGCAGGCUAGAGGUAGGUAGGGGAGAAUGGAAUUCCCGGUGUAGCGGUGAAAUGCGCAGAUAUCGGGAGGAACACCGGUGGCGAAGGCGGUUCUCUGGGCCUUACCUGACGCUGAGGAGCGAAAGCGUGGGGAGCGAACAGG